AAAAUAGUUUGUGGAUCUAAAUAUACGUUAUGAAAGUUCAGGGUGCGACAUGAACAAUCCGAUAUAGUUCAUGGUGCGGGAUGACACUUUAGCCUUUAUUAUAUGCUAAACAU